AGCGAACGCUGGCGGCAGGCUUAACACAUGCAAGUCGAACGGUCCUUCGGGAUAGUGGCGGACGGGUGAGUAACACGUGGGAACGUACCCUUAGGUUCGGAACAACACAGGGAAACUUGUGCUAAUACCGGAUAAGCCCUUCAGGGGAAAGAUUUAUCGCCUUUGGAGCGGCCCGCGUCUGAUUAGCUUGUUGGUGAGGUAAUGGCCCACCAAGGCUACGAUCAGUAGCUGGCCUGGGAGGAUGGCCAGCCACACUGGGACUGAGACACGGCCCAGACUCCUACGGGAGGCAGCAGUGGGGAAUAUUGCGCAAUGGGCGAAAGCCUGACGCAGCCAUGCCGCGUGGAUGAUGAAGGUCUUAGGAUUGUAAAACCCUUUCACCGGGGACGAUAAUGACGGUACCCGGAGAAGAAGCCCCGGCUAACUUCGUGCCAGCAGCCGCGGUAA
rnacentral:rRNA from 1 species